GUAGGGAAUAUUGCGCAAUGGAGGCAACUCUGACGCAGCCAUGCCGCGUGCAGGAAGAAGGCGCUACGCGUUGUAAACUGCUUUUAACCGGGAAGAAACCCCAGGACGUGUCCUGGGUUGACGGUACCGGAGGAAUAAGCACCGGCUAACUUCGUGCCAGCAUCCGCGGUAAUACGAAGGGUGCAAGCGUUAUCCGGAUUCAUUGGGUUUAACGGGUGCGUAGGCGGAGCGUUAAGGCAGUGGUGAAAUCCUGCAGCUUAACUGUAGACUUGCCAUUGAUACUGGCGCUCUUGAGUGCGCUGGAGGUGGGCGGAAUGAGCAGUGUAGCGGUGAAAUGCUUAGAUAUGGCACAGAACACCAAUUGCGAAGGCAGCUCACUAAGGCGAUACUGACGCUGAGGCACGAAAGCGUGGGAAUCGAACAGGAUUAGAAACCCCGGUAGUCC
rnacentral:rRNA from 1 species